rnacentral:rRNA from 1 species
UUCGCCUACGGGACGCAGCAGUGAGGAAUAUUGGUCAAUGGGCGGGAGCCUGAACCAGCCAAGUCGCGUGAGGGAAGACGGUCCUAUGGAUUGUAAACCUCUUUAGGCGGGGAGCAAUGCCGGGCACGCGUGCCCGGAGGGAGAGUACCCGCCGAAUAAGCAUCGGCUUACUCCGUGCCAGCAGCCGCGGUAAUACGGAGGAUGCGAGCGUUAUCCGGAUUUAUUGGGUUUAAAGGGUGCGUAGGCGGCUCUUUACGUCAGCGGUAAAGUGUACGGGCUCAACCCGUGCCGGCCGUUGGAACUGG